rnacentral:lncRNA from 1 species
CCCAUUCUGACAGACGGAACAAAUUAGAAAUGUCUAGUCUAAAGAAGAGCAAUGGCUACCUUUUCCUAGAGAAGAAAAGAAGGAAAGCGCGCAUUUGUUUGGAAACUUACUAUUUUUCUUUCUUUUUUUUUUUUUUUCCCCAGCAAAAGAUCGAGAUUUAUAAGCUGUUUUUCCUCCAGCUAACUUCUGCAGUACAGUUUCUUCCGAGUCUUGUUUUGGAGAGGCACUACCAUUUUGUGAAACUUUGGUCUGACAGCCAACAGCAGGGAGGGAAAAUAGAAGGAAAGGAAAAAAAAGAAAAAAAAAAAAGGAAAAAUUGAUGGCGCUGACAAAAAAGAUUCUUUUCCAAUCCCUGCCGUCAUGCUAACUUGUAGCAUGACCUCUCGUCGCUGGAAGGAAGGUGGAGAAAUGGAGAAAGGAUGGAGAGAUGGAUAGGUGGAAAGGUGGAUGAGGGAUGGAGGGAGGGAGAGAUGAGGAGGUGGAGGAGGGAUGGAGAGAGGUUGUGCACGGCGAGGGGGUGCCGUGCUGUCCCCCUGCCUGUCCCCUCAACUCUGGGGUGGCUUUAAUACGACGCCCUGGCCCCACAAGGGCAGGUGACAAGGGGGGUGGAAGGGCUGAGGGGAGGGGCGGGUGGCGGGAGGGGCAAAGCUUAAAAAUUAAUAUACAUAUACAUAUACAUGCUACACUGGCGCAUAUAUCUAUGUAUAUACAUAUAAAAAUAUAUAUGUUUUUUUAUAUAUAUAUCCGUCUAUGUAUAUGUCUAUAUAUAUAUAUGUCUGUAUGUGAAGCCAGCUGUGUGUCCCGGCCGCAGCGCUGCUGCAGGCAGCGGGCGCGGAUUUCCGCGGGGAUAGCGCAGACAUCCUGCCGCAUUCCCCCUCCUCCCCGCAUCUCCCGGGCAUCAGCGCCCGGAUCCCUGUGGACAAAGAGAAGCUCUGCCAAGAGCCGAACGCAAGCCCGGGGGGAAAGCAGCGAAUCCAGCACGAGCGCUCGGAUGCACUAGAAAUAAAUAAUAAUAAAAAA